UACGAAGGGGGCUAGCGUUGUUCGGAAUUACUGGGCGUAAAGGGCGCGUAGGCGGUACUUCAAGUCAGGCGUGAAAGCCCCGGGCUCAACCUGGGAACCGCGCUUGAGACUGGAGAACUAGAGUUCGGGAGAGGAUGGUGGAAUUCCCAGUGUAGAGGUGAAAUUCGUAGAUAUUGGGAAGAACACCGAUGGCGAAGGCAGCCAUCUGGACCGACACUGACGCUGAGGCGCGGAAGCGUGGGGAGCAAACAGG
rnacentral:rRNA from 1 species